GGAAUAUUGGACAAUGGGGGCAACCCUGAUCCAGCCAUGCCGCGUGAGUGACGAAGGCCUUCGGGUUGUAAAGCUCUUUCAGAUGUGAAGAUGAUGACGGUAACAUCAGAAGAAGCCCCGGCUAAAUUCGUGCCAGCAGCCGCGGUAAUACGAAUGGGCAAGCGUUGUUCGGAAUCACGGGGCUUAAAGCGUGCGCAGGCGGCCAUGCAAGUCAGGAGUGAAAUCCCCGGGCUCAACCCGGGAAUUGCUUUUGAAACUGCAUGGCUAGAAUCCGGGAGAGGUUAGCAGAAUUCCCAGUGUAGAGGUGAAAUUCGCAGAUAUUGGGAAGAAUACCAGUGGCGAAGGCGGCUAACUGGACCGGCAUUGACGCUCAGGCACGAAAGCGUGGGGAGCAAAC
rnacentral:rRNA from 1 species